rnacentral:lncRNA from 1 species
UUCUGCCAGACGCGCAAGCACCGCACUCAGGGCUGAAUUCUGGGUUCGAGACGGGGAAGGAAGCGGUCCAUCUCGGUUCUCCACACCGGUCAGACCACAGAGGAGGCCAGCAGCCACCAUGUUGGUAAACUGACGUCACCACACCUGUUUUUGACUGACCGCAGCUCAUUCAGCCAUAGAACAGGUAAUUUCAGGCUGCAAUUCGCCUGCGGNGACAGAGAUGAGACCACUUACUUCAUAGUGGUGCUGUGAUACAUGUAUCCAUAUUUGUACCAUCUGUACUUAGCACUCUGAAAUAGUCAGUAUAAUUUUCCUCUUCAGUCCUGUGCCCUCUGUAAAGCUGCUAACAUGACCACCACCCUUAGAGAUUAGAGCCCCAAUCAAAUAUUAGAAUAAUGCAGACACACUGACAUAGUCCUGUAGCAGUUUUUGCUUUAAAUUCCAUUAAAAUGUCAAUAUUUCCCCCCAUUUUUGCUCUGUCAGCCCCUUAGAAGUAAUUUUCAAAAUUUUGAAAUGGUAAAACACAUGUUUUGGAGAAGUCUUUUCCAUAAUUAUUUAUCGACAGCCUGAUUUCUUUAAAUCUUGGAUGAACUUACUUUCAGAUUCUGCUCUGUGUGCCCAUAAAAAGUUGAGUCUGAUUAUUCUUUAGGGACUCAAUUGUUCUUUUAAUAGAUAAUUUAGAGUUUCAAUUUUAGAUAUGGUGGCAGACUUUUAUUUUUUAAGUAAAAUAUUUGAAUACUUUUUAAAAUUAAAAAUUUGAAUAAAAUAUUUGACUAUUGUUUUCGUUAAAUAUUCACUGCCUUUCCUAGGAGAGAGUUAUACUUCCCAGCUCUGUGACUCCAAGUUUGCUCUGACCCAUACAUGUGAAAGAAGUUUCUAAGAUUCAGCUUGUGGGGGCUGGGGUUGUAGCUCAGUGGUUGAGUACUCGCCUGGCAUUCAUGAGGCACUGGGUUCGAUCCUCAGCACCACAUAAAAAAAUAAAAUAAAAU